UUAAGGGCGCACGGUGGAUGCCUUGGCACUAGAAGCCGAUGAAGGACGUUACUAACGACGAUAUGCUUUGGGGAGCUGUAAGUAAGCUUUGAUCCAGAGAUUUCCGAAUGGGGAAACCCAGCAUGAGUUAUGUCAUGUUAUCGAUAUGUGAAUACAUAGCAUAUCAGAAGGCACACCCGGAGAACUGAAACAUCUUAGUACCCGGAGGAAGAGAAAGAAAAUUCGAUUCCCUUAGUAGCGGCGAGCGAAACGGGAAGAGCCCAAACCAACAAGCUUGCUUGUUGGGGUUGUAGGACACUCUAUACGGAGUUACAAAGGACGACAUUAGACGAAUCAUCUGGAAAGAUGAAUCAAAGAAGGUAAUAAUCCUGUAGUCGAAAAUGUUGUCUCUCUUGAGUGGAUCCUGAGUACGACGGAGCACGUGAAAUUCCGUCGGAAUCUGGGAGGACCAUCUCCUAAGGCUAAAUACUCUCUAGUGACCGAUAGUGAACCAGUACCGUGAGGGAAAGGUGAAAAGCACCCCGGAAGGGGAGUGAAAUAGAACCUGAAACCGUGUGCUUACAAGUAGUCAGAGCCCGUUAAUGGGUGAUGGCGUGCCUUUUGUAGAAUGAACCGGCGAGUUACGAUUUGAUGCAAGGUUAAGCAGUAAAUGUGGAGCCGUAGCGAAAGCGAGUCUGAAUAGGGCGUUUAGUAUUUGGUCGUAGACCCGAAACCAGGUGAUCUACCCUUGGUCAGGUUGAAGUUCAGGUAACACUGAAUGGAGGACCGAACCGACUUACGUUGAAAAGUGAGCGGAUGAACUGAGGGUAGCGGAGAAAUUCCAAUCGAACCUGGAGAUAGCUGGUUCUCUCCGAAAUAGCUUUAGGGCUAGCCUCAAGUGAUGAUUAUUGGAGGUAGAGCACUGUUUGGACGAGGGGCCCCUCUCGGGUUACCGAAUUCAGACAAACUCCGAAUGCCAAUUAAUUUAACUUGGGAGUCAGAACAUGGGUGAUAAGGUCCGUGUUCGAAAGGGAAACAGCCCAGACCACCAGCUAAGGUCCCAAAAUAUAUGUUAAGUGGAAAAGGAUGUGGCGUUGCCCAGACAACUAGGAUGUUGGCUUAGAAGCAGCCAUCAUUUAAAGAGUGCGUAAUAGCUCACUAGUCGAGUGACACUGCGCCGAAAAUGUACCGGGGCUAAACAUAUUACCGAAGCUGUGGAUUGUCCUUUGGACAAUGGUAGGAGAGCGUUCUAAGGGCGUUGAAGCAUGAUCGUAAGGACAUGUGGAGCGCUUAGAAGUGAGAAUGCCGGUGUGAGUAGCGAAAGACGGGUGAGAAUCCCGUCCACCGAUUGACUAAGGUUUCCAGAGGAAGGCUCGUCCGCUCUGGGUUAGUCGGGUCCUAAGCUGAGGCCGACAGGCGUAGGCGAUGGAUAACAGGUUGAUAUUCCUGUACCACCUAUAAUCGUUUUAAUCGAUGGGGGGACGCAGUAGGAUAGGCGAAGCGUGCGAUUGGAUUGCACGUCUAAGCAGUAAGGCUGAGUAUUAGGCAAAUCCGGUACUCGUUAAGGCUGAGCUGUGAUGGGGAGAAGACAUUGAGUCUUCGAGUCGUUGAUUUCACACUGCCGAGAAAAGCCUCUAGAUAGAAAAUAGGUGCCCGUACCGCAAACCGACACAGGUAGUCAAGAUGAGAAUUCUAAGGUGAGCGAGCGAACUCUCGUUAAGGAACUCGGCAAAAUGACCCCGUAACUUCGGGAGAAGGGGUGCUCUUUAGGGUUAACGCCCAGAAGAGCCGCAGUGAAUAGGCCCAAGCGACUGUUUAUCAAAAACACAGGUCUCUGCUAAACCGUAAGGUGAUGUAUAGGGGCUGACGCCUGCCCGGUGCUGGAAGGUUAAGAGGAGUGGUUAGCUUCUGCGAAGCUACGAAUCGAAGCCCCAGUAAACGGCGGCCGUAACUAUAACGGUCCUAAGGUAGCGAAAUUCCUUGUCGGGUAAGUUCCGACCCGCACGAAAGGCGUAACGAUUUGGGCACUGUCUCAACGAGAGACUCGGUGAAAUCAUAGUACCUGUGAAGAUGCAGGUUACCCGCGACAGGACGGAAAGACCCCGUGGAGCUUUACUGUAGCCUGAUAUUGAAAUUCGGCACAGCUUGUACAGGAUAGGUAGGAGCCUUUGAAACGUGAGCGCUAGCUUACGUGGAGGCGCUGGUGGGAUACUACCCUAGCUGUGUUGGCUUUCUAACCCGCACCACUUAUCGUGGUGGGAGACAGUGUCAGGCGGGCAGUUUGACUGGGGCGGUCGCCUCCUAAAAGGUAACGGAGGCGCUCAAAGGUUCCCUCAGAAUGGUUGGAAAUCAUUCAUAGAGUGUAAAGGCAUAAGGGAGCUUGACUGCGAGACCUACAAGUCGAGCAGGGUCGAAAGACGGACUUAGUGAUCCGGUGGUUCCGCAUGGAAGGGCCAUCGCUCAACGGAUAAAAGCUACCCCGGGGAUAACAGGCUUAUCUCCCCCAAGAGUUCACAUCGACGGGGAGGUUUGGCACCUCGAUGUCGGCUCAUCGCAUCCUGGGGCUGUAGUCGGUCCCAAGGGUUGGGCUGUUCGCCCAUUAAAGCGGUACGCGAGCUGGGUUCAGAACGUCGUGAGACAGUUCGGUCCCUAUCCGUCGUGGGCGUAGGAAAUUUGAGAGGAGCUGUCCUUAGUACGAGAGGACCGGGAUGGACAUACCUCUGGUGUACCAGUUGUCGUGCCAACGGCAUAGCUGGGUAGCUAUGUGUGGACGGGAUAAGUGCUGAAAGCAUCUAAGCAUGAAGCCCCCCUCAAGAUGAGAUUUCCCAACUUCGGUUAUAAGAUCCCUCAAAGAUGAUGAGGUUAAUAGGUUCGAGGUGGAAGCAUGGUGACAUGUGGAGCUGACGAAUACUAAUCGAUCGAAGACUUAAUC
rnacentral:rRNA from 2 species